GUGCUUGCUUCAGCAGCACAUAUCCUAAAAUUGGAACCAUACAGAGAAAAUUAGCAUGGCCCCUGUACAAGGAUGCCACACAUAUAUAUAUAUAUAUAUAUAUAUAU